rnacentral:rRNA from 1 species
ACGUUACCCGCAGAAGAAGCACCGGCUAACUCCGUGCCAGCAGCCGCGGUAAUACGGAGGGUGCAAGCGUUAAUCGGAAUUACUGGGCGUAAAGCGCACGCAGGCGGUCUGUCAAGUCGGAUGUGAAAUCCCCGGGCUCAACCUGGGAACUGCAUUCGAAACUGGCAGGCUUGAGUCUUGUAGAGGGGGGUAGAAUUCCAGGUGUAGCGGUGAAAUGCGUAGAGAUCUGGAGGAAUACCGGUGGCGAAGGCGGCCCCCUGGACAAAGACUGACGCUCAGGUGC